rnacentral:rRNA from 1 species
CUACGGGGGGCACCAGUCGAGAAUCUUCCCCAAUGGACGAAAGUCUGAGGGAGCGACGCCGCGUGAAUGAAGAAGCCCUUCGGGGUGUAAAGUUCUUUUCUUUGGGAAAAAUUUGUGAUGGUACCAAAGGAAUAAGGGGCCGCUAAACUCGUGCCAGCAGCGGCGGUAAUACGAGUGCCCCGAGCGUUAUCCGGAAUUAUUGGGCGUAAAGCGCUAAAAGGCUGUUUUGAAAGUUGGAUGUAAAAUUCCAGGGCUCAACCCUGGGUCUAUAUCCAAAACUACAUAACUAGAGGAUGGUAGAGGCAAGCGGAAUGGCUGGUGUAGCAGUAAAAUGCGUUAAUAUCAGCUAGAACACCAAUGGCGAAAGCAGCUUGCUGGAACACUCCUGACGCUAAAUAGCGAAAGCGUGGGUAGCGAAUGGGAUUAGAUACCCCUGUAGUC